UGGUCUUCACACUCUUUAACAUUCUUUAGGUUCUUGUAGUAACCCAGAACUUACUUUGUAGUGAGAUCUAAAACACCUACAGCUGCCAGUCUUACCUGAGGGGGGUUUUCAACCUUGGAUUUUUGGACACAUUAGAAGCAGCAGAUUAUCCUGCAGGCUUUCAGGCACCAUGAAAAUAGCAGCGUUUAACAUUCAGAAGUUUGGGCGGAGCAAAGUGGCGGACGCAGAUGUUCUGAAGACUCUGGUUAAGAUCAUUUCCCGUUAUGACAUCAUUGUGAUCCUGGAGGUCGUGGACAUCAGCGGGAAAUCUGUGGAAAUUUUAAAGAAAGCAAUCAACACGGCCAACCGGAAACAUCACUACACCCUGAAAAUCAGCACCCGCCUGGGCCGAACACGCUACAAGGAGCAGUUCAUGUUCCUGUACAGGGACGACCUGGUUGACCUGGUUGGCUCAUACCAGUUCGAUGAUGAGAAGACCGAGGGGCUGGACGUGUUUGCCAGGGAUCCGUACAUCCUUCGGUUCAGGUGCCUAAAUACAGUUCUGAAAGAUCUGGUGAUCAUCCCAGUUCACACCAAACCAGAGGACUCGGAAAAGGAGCUGGACGAACUCUACGACGUCUUUGUUCAUGUCAGGAAGAAGUGGAGGACUGAUAACGUGAUGAUCCUGGGAGACUUUAAUGCCGACGGCUCAUACCUCACAAAAAAGGAAAUGAAAACUAUCCGGAUCCGUAGCGACAAGAACUUCCACUGGCUGAUCGGAGACGAUGUGGACACCACAGCGAGCAGCGGGAACGCACACACAUAUGAUAGGAUCGUCGUCUACGGAGACGACAUGCUUCAGGCUGUUGUUCCACAAUCUGCUAAACCCUUCAACUUCCAAAAGGCUUAUAAUCUCUCUGAAGAACAGGCUCUGAAAGUGAGCGACCAUUAUCCUGUGGAGGUGGAGCUGAGGGGUCUGCCUGAAAAAACAGAUGAUGAUGAUGAUGGCCUGAUCGAUGCGAUGAAAGGUGUUGUGAUGGCUGAAGACGGGGAUCUAACGGAGCUGAGGAGAGGAAAUCUGCUUUUGGAGCGGGAGAAGCUCAACCUGGAGAUCCAGAUCCUGCGGUUGAGGGUUGCUGAGAUGACCCGUGGGAAUGCAGUUUGACCUAAAGACGUCAGAUCGAUCUGGAAAACACUCCACAUAGCCAUGAACUACAAUAAUACUGGUUAUCUAGUUGUUACACACUGUACGGCGAAUGCGCAGGGUUUCGCCGUACAGUGUGAGCUGCAGCUGCUUGCAACGACGCAAAAAAUCGAAAAGUGUAUGCCCGGCUUUAGGAGCUUUUCAGGACUUUGAAGAAAUCCUUUCAUUUCAAAAGUUUAAAAUAUAAUAGAUACUGGAGCUUGACUGGGAUAGUCAGACGGCUCGCAGCAGAUGUACUUACCCGUAUUUUCAAAUCCAAAACAUGACGCGUAGGGUUUAAGGCGGGACACAUAACCAGGGGAACGGGAAGAUCGCCCACAGCCAAACCAAAAUAAACAUGGCAGUGAAGGAGGACGUACCUGUAGCUGCUGCCGUCAACAACAAGAGCGUAAAAGCACAAGUUUUAAUUCCUUCCAUUGCUUACUGCGAUUGGCAAAAACCAAAGUUUUUUAGGCAGUCACUGAGUGUUGCCCAAUCAGCCCAGAAGUUUCAGCUGAAUGUCAUCCUUUCCUCAUGCAGAUUCGGUCCCACAUUAAUAAUGCAUAUUGCUAAACUUGGGUUCUAAACAUGAUCAUCCUGGCUGGACAGAUUAGGGGCAUGACCCUGACACGGUACUUACAGCCGUGGAGAUCCUGGGUUGUUUGCGUUGCAGCCAGAGCUGUAACAGCAGGUGUGCUUGCAUGAGUGUCACUGAAUGCUGACAUGACAUCAUCUUCAAAUUUCCUCAAGACCAGGAUGUUCCACUGCGAGCAACAGACGUUAAUAACCAAACCGGAGGAAGUUCUCAGAAGACCUGUGGAUGUGUAACCCUUCAUCAAGCAUUGAUUAACUCUAAAAAACAUUUCCAAAAACCUUAGGAGAGAGCAAUGUUCCGGCCCAAUCUUUAAUUUUUUCUGAUCCAUAAUUGCAUGUUCCACAUGUUCCUAUGCGGCUCAAAUAAACUGUUACAUUAUAAGCACGUAUUGGGGGAAAAUUAUUAUAUAGUUUCUGCAUAACACUCAACAAUUUUUAUUAUUUACGAAUAUUUGGAAGGUUUACGUGGUGGUGGUGGUGGGGGGUAGAGUCGAUCGCCUUGUUUUUAUAUUGUUUCUUAGACUGACAUUUAAUGGCUGAACCAUAACGCUGGUCAAGAUUCUGUCAUCCAGGUCAUAGUCAUUCCAGAAAGGUUAAAAAACAAUCCACUAGACUUUGUUUCCAAGUUUGAAGACGUUUCACUUCCCAUUCAGGGAGAUUGUUCAAUUCAAAAUUCUCAGAAAUAGCAUUGAGUUCCAGGCUUUAUACAGAGACAUAGACAGAAUUAAACAAAAAGGAAAACAAUUUUCUGAAACUAUUGAGGAAAAAAGAUCUGGACUAAUUAUCCUAAUUAUCCUGGAUGGAAGAGAAACGUCUUCAAACUUGGAAACAAAGUCCAGUGGAUUGAUUUUUAACUUUUUUGAAAUGGCUGGACCAGUAAUGUGGGAUAUCUGAAAAGUGGAAUCAGCACCACGUGUUGUCUCUUUAAUGUUUUAAAAUGACUGUAGAGACAAAGGGAAUGUUUUUGAGCUUCUACUUCAAAGCGACUAAAUCCAGAAGCUUCAUUUUACUUUAAAGCCAUUCUGUUAUUUGUUAGAACCAUUUAAAAAAUGUUUAAUGCAGAUUUCAUGACAUAAUGUUUUAGUUUCAUUGUUAUUUUCAAUUCUUAAAAUAUUUUUUUUGUGUGAUUAUUUUACCUCAGGAUGUUUUAGGUUAUAUUACUUUGAUUCAUCACCGCUGACGGAUUGUAAACUUGUUUUUUACAGAUAUGACUUACACCACAUUUUAUAGAUAAAGUGGAAAACUGUACUUCAGCCCAA